CCAAGGUCAGCCUGUAGAAAUGGAUUUUUCUUUGGACAAAGGAAAAUUGACAAUUCACUCUAGGCAUUUGAUUGAGAAAUGUUCAUUAAUUUGAAUAAUGGAAGAUAAAACCCACUGUUUCCUUAUCUAUUAAUGAAUUAGAUUCUAAAAAACAAAACAAAACAAAAAACUAAGGAACAAUUGCAUGGAGGAGUCACAAGUAUAAUCAUAGUCCUUUUUUAAAAAAAAAUUCAUUCAGUUUUAUUUAGUAUUAUUACUAGCAUUUUUAAUGGAAAAAUAAGAUUUUAUUCCAUUUCUUAUAGGGUUUGGUUAUGUCGGUCUCAGAAACUCAAAAACAAGAAGAGUCUGGAAGAAACUCUUUAUUAUUACCAAAGUAAUGACCUCAUUUUAGGGUGGAGUUCAUUCAGAGAAGAGUCACCAGGAGGAUAAGGGGACUGAACUGGAAGCUAUGCUUCAAAAGCAUCUGUGGAAGAAACUGGAUCUGUUCAGCCUGGAGAAUAGAAGACUUGUGAUAGUGAUGAUAAAACUGUCUCAGAGAAGUUAGAAGACUUGGCCCAUACUCAUACAUCUUUGAACAAAAGCCAAGGUGUGAUUUGAGUCUAGAUGUCACCUGACUCCAAGUGUAUCCCUUUUUUCUUGAUAAAACAGCGCCAACUCCUCUCUUUCCCAAUCUCAGUCCACGUCCAAAAGAAUGCCUCAGAUCCACAAUAACCACGAACCAGUCAACCAUCCUGAAAUGCCACAACUUAAUCAGUCACUUUCAAUUGCUCAAGAAAGAGAUUCUGCUUUUGCUCUAUUUGUGAAAGGCAGCUGGAUGGAUGAACAUUACCAGUUGUAA
rnacentral:lncRNA from 1 species